rnacentral:rRNA from 1 species
ACGAUUGACGAUGACACCUCCUGCCGUUUUUGGGUCGACCCAUGGCUUGACGGGGGAUCUAUCACCGACACCGCUCCCUCCCUGGUGUCUCUCGUGACCUGCAGAGCUAGACGCUCUCGCACAGUUGCUCAGGAACUUGCUGAUCGUCAUUGGAUCGCUGACAUCCAGGGCGCGGUGGGGCCGGCCGCCACAAUGGAAUACGUGGAGCUCUGGCGUCGUCUCAAACACGUUGGCCUAUCCCCUCGGCCCGACUCGAUCCGCUGGCGCUGGACUGACAAUGGUAUCUACUCGGCUUCCUCAUGCUACAGCACGCUCUUUCAUGGCUCCAUUGCCUCAGAGUUCUGGCGUCUGGCCUGGCAGACCGGUGCUCCAACUUCGGUGCAAUUUUUCAUUUGGCUCGCCUCCCUGAACCACUGCUGGUCCGCCGAUCGGAUGGCUCUGUAA